rnacentral:tmRNA from 1 species
UCACUUCACAUUAAUCUUCGCGUGCCUAUAUAGGGCCUGCUCGCUUCGGCGGGCUAUGACGAUAAAUUGCGGCGUGCAAUAGGCACGGCGGACCCGGGGGCAGUACCCGGCGGCUCCACCAUUGCGUUCGCCUCCACCGAGCAAGUGGGCGGACGCAUUGUUGGGGCCGAACCAGGAUCGACGCGUGUUGAAAGGCGCUGUUUUCGUCCGGGCUGAGUAACCCGUUAAAGGCUCAAAACCAAUAAGUGCCAACGAUAACGAAGCACUUGCUCUCGCUGCGUAAUGUGACGGCCUAGCGGCCUGAAUUUACAAAGCUAAGAACGCGGUUGGUCCGACCGGUCAACAGAACGGAUACGGGGCUCCGGGGGUAGCUAGCAACAGAAACCCCCACC